rnacentral:rRNA from 1 species
AGAGUUUGAUCCUGGCUCAGGACGAACGCUGGCGGCGUGCUUAACACAUGCAAGUCACGGGGGUCCCGCGAGGGAUAACCGGCGAACGGGUGCGUAACACGUGAACAACCUGCCCUCGUGUGGGGGAUAGCCGGGCUAACGCCCGGGUAAUACCGCAUACGUUCUCGUGGGGGAGUCCCUGCGGGAGGAAAGCUCUGGCGCACGGGGAGGGGUUCGCGGCCUAUCAGCUAGUUGGCGGGGUAACGGCCCACCAAGGCGACGACGGGUAGCUGGUCUGAGAGGAUGGCCAGCCACAUUGGGACUGAGAGACGGCCCAGACUCCUACGGGAGGCAGCAGUGGGGAAUCUUGCGCAAUGGUCUAACGACUGACGCAGCGACGCCGCGUGUGGGAGGACGCCUUUCGGGGUGUAAACCACUGUUGCCCGGGACGAACAGGUCUAUUCGUAGACCCUGACGGUACCGGGUGAGGAAGCACCGGCUAACUCCGUGCCAGCAGCCGCGGUAAUACGGAGGGUGCGAGCGUUGUCCGGAAUCAUUGGGCGUAAAGGGCGCGUAGGUGGCCCGGUCAGUCUUUGGUGAAAGCGCGGGGCUCAACCCUGCGUCGGCCAGGGAUACUGCCGCGGCUGGAGCACUGUAGAGGCAGGCGGAAUUCCGGGUGUAGCGGUGGAAUGCGUAGAGAUCCGGAAGAACACCGGUGGCGAAGGCGGCCUGCUGGGCAGUUGCUGACACUGAGGCGCGACAGCGUGGGGAGCAAACAGGAUUAGAUACCCUGGUAGUCCACGCCGUAAACGAUGGGCACUAGGCGCUUGGGGGAGCGACCCCCCGAGGGCCGGCGCUAACGCAUUAAGUGCCCCGCCUGGGGAGUACGGCCGCAAGGCUGAAACUCAAAGGAAUUGAUGG